rnacentral:rRNA from 1 species
AGAGUUUGAUCAUGGCUCAGAUUGAACGCUGGCGGCAUGCUUUACACAUGCAAGUCGAACGGUAACGCGGGGGCAACCCUGGCGACGAGUGGCGAACGGGUGAGUAAUACAUCGGAACAUGUCCUGGAGUGGGGGAUAGCUCGGCGAAAGCCGGAUUAAUACCGCAUACGCUCUGAGGAGGAAAGCGGGGGACCUGGUAACGGGCCUCGCGCUGCGGGAGUGGCCGAUGUCGGAUUAGCUAGUUGGUGAGGUAAAGGCUCACCAAGGCGACGAUCCGUAGCUGGUCUGAGAGGAUGAUCAGCCACACUGGGACUGAGACACGGCCCAGACUCCUACGGGAGGCAGCAGUGGGGAAUUUUGGACAAUGGGGGCAACCCUGAUCCAGCCAUGCCGCGUGAGUGAAGAAGGCCUUCGGGUUGUAAAGCUCUUUCGGACGGGACGAAAUGGUUACGGCGAAUAGUCGUGACUGAUGACGGUACCGUAAUAAGAAGCACCGGCUAACUACGUGCCAGCAGCCGCGGUAAUACGUAGGGUGCGAGCGUUAAUCGGAAUUACUGGGCGUAAAGCGUGCGCAGGCGGUUCGCCAAGUCAGGUGUGAAAUCCCCGGGCUUAACCUGGGAAUUGCGCUUGAAACUAGCGGGCUUGAGUGUGGCAGAGGGGGGUGGAAUUCCACGUGUAGCAGUGAAAUGCGUAGAGAUGUGGAGGAACACCGAUGGCGAAGGC